CGAACUUUCAACUAAACUUGAGACUUUCCUUCUUGCUUCAAUUGGACAACUACUAUCUUGCUUCAAUUGGACAACUACUACUUUCUGGAGACAACCAACUACGUUAGGCCAACUUUGACUCUUUAUGGCUUCUGUUCUGAUCCGUGAACUGUCACUGUAGUUUUCUACCUUCCGGGGAUAACUCGCUGACGCCUUGAAUCAGUAUAGGCAAGGAAACUCCAUUCUGGUAUUCUUACACCUGACCCUGCAAAUACAGAUAAAGAUUCAUACUUACUUGCCUAGUAGCUACGGAUAUUACUUGUUGCUAUAGAAUAGAGCUAGGUUAACUUGUU
rnacentral:lncRNA from 1 species